AAGAAAUACUGGAGAGAAACCCUCUGAAUAUACUCAAUGUGGUAAAGCCUUUGCAUAUCAGAAUCAUUCUCAAAGGCAUGAAAAGAAAUCAUACUGGAAAGAACCCUAUACCAGGCAAAAGUCUAAGAAGGAUUUCUCUGAUGCUCCCUCUCAGCCACCGCCUCUGCUAUCUCCACAUCUGAUCAACCAACUCAAAAAACCUUCAACCCUAACCCUGACUACAAAGACGUGCAAGGAUAAAGAUGGAGCAGAGAUUAAGGGAAUAUCCAACCAAUGAUUGCCCCAACUUGAGAUUCACCCCAUGGGAGAGAGCCUACUUCUGAUACUAUUAAUGAAACUCUGCUAUGUUUCCAGAUGGGAGCCUAUCUGUCAUAGGAAAGGCUUCAUCCAGCAGCUGAUGGAAACAGAUGCAGAGACCCACAGCCAAACAUUAGGCAGAGCUCUGGGAAUCUUGUGAAAGAGUUGGGAGAGGGGUAAGAACUGAGGGAACCGGAGGGGUCAAGGACACCACAAGAAAAUCUACAGAGCCAACUAACCUGGGCCCAUGGGGGCCCU